rnacentral:lncRNA from 1 species
CCGCAUUGCUCCCGCCGGGCUGUAGCUGAGCGCGGAGCCCGUGGGGGCCGGUGAGUUUGAGUUCCUGAGAUCUAGUUGGUGAGAGACAUGAUGUUCUACUGGUUGCUGUCGAUUGUUGGAAGACAAAGAGCCAGCCCAGGAUGGCAGAACUGGUCCUCUGCAAGAAACAGCGCAUCAGCUGCCGAGGCGCGUUCCAUGGCCCUGCCCACCCAGGCACAGGUGGUCGUCUGUGGAGGUGGAAUCACGGGCACUUCUGUGGCCCAUCACCAAUCCAAAAUGGGGUGGAAGGAUAUUGUCCUUUUGGAGCAGGGCAGGUAAGGAUCAGACUGCAUUUGGCUCAUGGCUGUGCUGCACUAAUCGUAUCAGAUUCCCUCUCCUUUCAGAGAUACUGC